CAGUCCAUCCAAACAAGGUGUUAGACACAAACCCCCGUGUGGUGAGGGCUGGCACACUGUAGCUGAAUUGCCAUCCCUUGGGUUCUCUCUCUCUCUUUCUCUCCCCCUUACUUGAAUAAUUCAAAGAUGACAACUUCAUCAUCCAUUGAACCCUCUACUUUCUCAGGCGGAACUCAGGUGAAGAAGAUUGUGAGACCAGGUUGUUCACAAGAAGUGUUGAAUGUGGCUGUGAGUUCCAUGUCCUCACUCGCCAGGAUCCUCUCAGCGUUGUCUUCUGAACCAAAACCCCGUGCCUCACUUUGAACAAGUCUGCCAUUUAUAUACCUGCUGUGAUGAGGGAAAACAUGCCUGCAUCAUGUAUGAAGCCUAUCUUCUUAGCAUCUUUACUUUAUUUUCUUCUUCUUUUGUAUUGUGUGCUUGGGGAUUUGAUUUGGGGCAGGGUAGAUAUUUAUUACUACUAUAUAUUUACUUUUGUGAAUGCCCUUAUUUUUAAGAAUACAUGCAAAUGAUGCAGUUUGACCAAUUACAACGGAACUAUGAAUAUGUCUUUUUGUAAGGCUGACUACUGGCAAUAUGAAAUUGUAAUAUAUGUGAAGCCUUAAUGGUUGGAGUAGUGAUAGU